rnacentral:rRNA from 1 species
GACGAACGCUGGCGGCGUGCUUAACACAUGCAAGUCGAACGAGAAUCUACUGAAAGAGUUUUCGGACAAUGGAUGUAGAGGAAAGUGGCGGACGGGUGAGUAACGCGUGAGGAACCUGCCUCUGAGAGGGGAAUAACAUUCUGAAAAGAAUGCUAAUACCGCAUAAUAUAUAUUUAUCGCAUGGUAGAUAUAUCAAAGAUUUAUCGCUUAGAGAUGGACUCGCGUCCGAUUAGUUAGUUGGUGAGGUAACGGCUCACCAAGACCGCGAUCGGUAGCCGGACUGAGAGGUUGAACGGCCACAUUGGGACUGAGACACGGCCCAGACUCCUACGGGAGGCAGCAGUGGGGGAUAUUGCGCAAUGGGGGAAACCCUGACGCAGCAACGCCGCGUGAAGGAUGAAGGUCUUCGGAUUGUAAACUUCUUUUAUUAAGGACGAAGAAAGUGACGGUACUUAAUGAAUAAGCUCCGGCUAACUACGUG